rnacentral:rRNA from 1 species
AAUGAACGUUGGCGGCGUGGAUUAGGCAUGCAAGUCGUGCGAGAAGGUUUCCUUCGGGGAACUGGAAAGCGGCGAAAGGGAGAGUAACGCGUGGAUACUUACCCCCGGGACCGGGAUAGCGGCGGGAAACUGCCGGUAAUACCGGAUAAUAUCUCUGGAUCAAAGGUGUGAUUCCGCCUGGGGAUGGGUCCGCGUCCUAUUAGCUAGUUGGUGGGGUAAAGGCCUACCAAGGCUUUGAUGGGUAGCGGGUGUGAGAGCAUGGCCCGUCUCACUGGGACUGAGACACUGCCCAGACACCUACGGGUGGCUGCAGUCGAGAAUCUUCGGCAAUGGGCGCAAGCCUGACCGAGCGACGCCGCGUGCGGGAGGAAGGCCUUCGGGUUGUAAACCGCUGUCAGAGGGGCGCAAAUGCUGUGGGUUCUCCCCACAGUUUGAGCAAUCCUCAGAGGAAGGACGGGCUAAGUUCGUGCCAGCGCC